GUGAUGAGAGAUGUUCCCUUAAGCCCCAAGUGCUCUUCAGUCAUUUUGUGAUGAAUGCUGUCAGACCUAGGACUCACCCUUCAGUGCAGUGGACUCCUCUCUGUCCCAGGAAAGAACCUCACUGCACCAUGAUGUAAGCCCAGGAAGAAUGGGGUAUAUGAGACUGAUGAACCAGUUGAAUGAUUACUCCAAAUACCUGGAGAUCUGCCUGGGCAUGAAGCAGAAAGUUCCUCCCUGCACCAUGAUCUAUGUCUAGGAAGAGUGGAGAAGUUUUCUCAAGAGGGAUUUGCAGAGACAGGAUGCUAUGAAAUUACCUCUCCCAUGCCCUCCACAGUACUAAGACUGAGGUACCUGUCUACAUCAAAAGAUGAGUACUACAAUGCAGAUGACUUAGCCAGGACUGAUAUUCUUAGAAGAAAAAAGAUUAAGACACAGACAGAAGAAAGACCAUGUAAAGGCACAAGGAGAAGACAGCCAUUUACAAGCCAAGAAGAGAGGUCUCUGAAAAACCAACCCUGCUGGCACCUUGCUCUUGGACUUCUGGCCUCCAGAUUUAUGAGGAAGUAAAUUUCUGUUGUUCAAGCAACCUGAAUUGGUUUACUUUCAAAUGGCAGCCCCAACAAACUGAUAGUUGGCUGACUAGGGAUGUUGGAUGCCAGGUCUCCUCAGAAAGAUCAAAGUUACAGGUGAAUGCCCAUGAUUUAAAUGGAAAUCUGAGGGAAUGAAGCAAGGACCUGUUGGAGCACCCAUGGGAAGAACCUGGGGCACAAAAGAGGAAAGCAGCAAGAGACUGACAGAGAUUGUCUCCCUAGAAACCUGGACCACGAAAAGGGUGGAGAGGAGAAAACUCUGUGCUAAAUAUUACUCCUGGAAAAGUGCAUUUGCUUCGGAGAAAUCUUUAUCAUGGGUCUCUAAGAGGAAGGAACAAUAGCAUCUUCUAUGUGCCGAGGUAGCGCAAUAAUGAACUCUGUUCAAGUGGAUCAAAAGCCAUCAAGGUCAAAAUUAGGCACAGGCUGUACAGGAAGCGUGAUUCUGGCAUCUGUUUGGUUUCUGGGAAGGCCUCAGGAAACUUAAAGUCAUGGAAGAAGGGGAAGGGAGAGCAGGCACGUCUUACAUGACCAAAGCAGGAAGAAGAGAGAGAAGUGUGGAGGUGCUAUACACUUUUAAACAGCCAGAUCUUGUGAGAACUCUGUCAGAAGAACAGCACUAGGGAAAUGGUGCUAAACCAUUCUUGGGGACUCCAUCCCUGUGAUACAAUCACCUCCCACCAGGCCCCACCUCCAACACUGAGAAUUACAACUCAACAUGAGAUUUGGAUGGGGACACAGAUCCAAACCAUAUCAAAUUUUCACACCUUUCAGUAAAGCUUUAUAUUUUUUAAGGAUAUUUAAGUACUUGGAAGUAGAAGUAGAGAGUAAGGGGAAUAUUGUACAGCCAUCACAGCCUUUGUCUACUAAAGAAGUCAGUUUCAUGUGACAAAUGUUCAUUUUAAUAUUCGCUUCUUCAGUCCAUCUGGGGGUGUUUCCUUAUUUCUAUAAGAUGCUGCUUUUCAAAAAAAUUACCGAAAGCAUUCUGGAAAUCCAAGAGUAAUUGUGUGAACUAUAAGCAUUAGAAAACACAGACAUAAGUUGAAAAUAUUUAUGAACCUAAAUAGAUGUAAAGCUAGUGACUCAUAUUUUAUAAUGUAUUCACAGAUGAUAUUUCUUAAAUAAAGUAGGCAUUUCUUUAAAAUAAAAACUCUAAUAAUAUAUGUUAUUAAGAAGAAAACUAGAAAAGGAAGAAAAAAAGUGAUGGUAUGUUUGGAAGAUGCUGAGGUGAGCUGGUGAUAAAAUUAUCUCCACUGAAAAAGGAAUACAAAGAGCAGACACUGAAUAAGCCAGACAAUGUUUGAGUUUUUUCUGAAACCACUGUGCAGUUUUGGACUUUGACCUGAUUUAAUUUUCACCUCUGUUCUUCCUCCCACUCCUUCUCUUCCUUCAUCUCAUCCUCCUCUGCCUUUUACCUCUUUUAAAAAUUGCAUUUUGCAAACAAAUACAUGUUUGCCAUCAAUGAAACUAUUUCAAGAGUUCUAUAGAGAUCAAAAUGAAGGGCUUCCUGCGUUGAUGGUUAAUUCUACCAUCUUCCCCAGGUGCAACAGCUGUUAGCAGUAUAGCCUUCAGUUACCAGUUUCAGGCAUUUACCUAUGCGUCUGAACAAAUGCAUUAAAAAAUAAUGAACACACAUGCAAACUGGUUUGUUUCCAUUUUACUUAGCUCUGUAAGGUGCCAUGUUUUACAUAUUCUGCAAAUUCUCCCCAUGUACAAUACACAUAAACCCAGUAUUAUUUUUAACAUCUCCAAUAUUUUGGUACACUUCAAUUUAUUUACCACUUGUUCCCAAUUCUUGGUGAUAUCAAUGUGUCAAGCUCUUUCAAAAGAACUUUGGUUUAUCAUCCGCCUUUCACCCUGACCAUUUAUAUGUUCAUUUUGCUUUGACAAGCAGGACUUGACUUCUUUCAGCUUCCUGACUCACUUGGAAUUGUAUCAACAGGUGACUGUUAUG
rnacentral:lncRNA from 1 species